UACGGAGGGUGCAAGCGUUGCUCGGAAUUAUUGGGCGUAAAGGGUAGGUAGGUGGUCUCAUUUGUCUGGGGUGAAAGCCUUGAGCUUAACUCAAGAAGUGCCCCGGAAACGGUGAGACUCGAGUCCUGGAGAGGGUCGUGGAAUUCCCGGUGUAGCGGUGAAAUGCGUAGAGAUCGGGAGGAACACCAGAGGCGAAGGCGGCGACCUGGACAGGCACUGACACUGAACUACGAAAGCGUGGGGAGCAAACAGG
rnacentral:rRNA from 1 species